rnacentral:rRNA from 1 species
CCUACGGGGGGCAGCAGUGAGGAAUAUUGGUCAAUGGACGAGAGUCUGAACCAGCCAAGUAGCGUGAAGGAUGACUGACCUAUGGGUUGUAAACUUCUUUUAUAUGGGAAUAAAAUGUUCCACGUGUGGGAUUUUGUAUGUACCAUAUGAAUAAGGAUCGGCUAACUCCGUGCCAGCAGCCGCGGUAAUACGGAGGAUCCGAGCGUUAUCCGGAUUUAUUGGGUUUAAAGGGAGCGUAGGUGGAUUGUUAAGUCAGUUGUGAAAGUUUGCGGCUCAACCGUAAAAUUGCAGUUGAAACUGGCAGUCUUGAGUACAGUAGAGGUGGGCGGAAUUCGUGGUGUAGCGGUGAAAUGCUUAGAUAUCACGAAGAACUCCGAUUGCGAAGGCAGUUCACUGGACUGCAACUGACACUGAGGCUCGAAAGUGUGGGUAUCAAACAGGAUUAGAUACCCGAGUAGUC